rnacentral:lncRNA from 1 species
AGCAGGUGUGCCUAGUCCUGCAUUCAUGUCUGAUGAAGGACUUGUAGUCCGAAACGUUACAACAGUGGUUGAAGGUCACUAUCAAAAUAUCCCAAAGGGAGGUGUUCUGGACGUUUGGAAAGUCAUGUUCAACGAGAGAACCGGGCCAAUGUGGGAGGGCACUGAGACCUUGAAACCAGGACAGUGGGACAGGAAAGUAUAAAAGCCACAAUCUGCAAGCCGUCCUAAGAAGUAAAAUGUAAGUGUGUGUGUUGUUUUUUUUAUUGAUUUUAUGCACCCUUGUAACAAACGUGUGUGACUACACGUAC